GUUGAACGCUGGCGGCAUGCCUAACACAUGCAAGUCGAACGGUAACAGGUCUAGCUUGCUAGAUGCUGACGAGUGGCGGACGGGUGAGUAAUGCAUAGGAAUCUGCCCAGUAGCGGGGGACAACUCGGGGAAACUCGAGCUAAUACCGCAUACGCCCUACGGGGAAAGCGGGGACCUUCGGGCCUCGCACUAUUGGCUGAGCCUAUGUCUGAUUAGCUAGUUGGUAGGGUAACGGCCUACCAAGGCGACGAUCAGUAGCUGGUCUGAGAGGACGAUCAGCCACACUGGAACUGAGACACGGUCCAGACUCCUACGGGAGGCAGCAGUGGGGAAUAUUGGACAAUGGGGAAACCCUGAUCCAGCAAUGCCGCGUGUGUGAAGAAGGCCUGCGGGUUGUAAAGCACUUUCAGUAGAGAAGAAUUUCUGGGGAUUAAUACUCUCCAGGCUUGACUUAACCUACAGAAGAAGCACCGGCUAACUCCGUGCCAGCAGCCGCGGUAAUACGGAGGGUGCGAGCGUUAAUCGGAAUUACUGGGCGUAAAGCGCACGUAGGCGGUCUAGUAAGUCGGAUGUGAAAUCCCCGGGCUUAACCUGGGAAUUGCAUUCGAUACUGCCAGGCUAGAGUAUGGUAGAGGGUAGUGGAAUUCC
rnacentral:rRNA from 1 species